rnacentral:lncRNA from 1 species
UAAAAACCAAUCCACGUUUUCGGUAGAUCACCUAUUAUAUACCCAGUAACCGGUAUCCUUGGUGUUUCUUACCAUGCGAGUAUUUUAUCCACGUUCUGACGGUAAUGAAUAUUAUAUCUCAUGCACUCUUUGGGUUUGUGUCCCCAGUUGAGUAAGAUUCGUAUUCUUUGUAGAAUCAAAUAUCAAUCCUUUAACCAGUUUGUGUUUCGGAUGAUGAGUGUUUUGGCAGUAAAAUUGGUCGGUCACCUAUU